rnacentral:rRNA from 1 species
AUGGAUGAGGUCACAAGGGGUAUACAAGGAGAUAUCCCAUGGUGUAUGCUCUUUGCGGAUGAUGUGGUGCUAGUUGACGAUAGUCGGACGGGGGUAAAUAGGAAGUUAGAGUUAUGGAGACAAACCUUGGAAUCGAAAGGGUUUAGGCUUAGUAGAACUAAAACCGAGUACAUGAUGUGCGGUUUCAGUACUACUAGCUGUGAGGAGGAGGAGGUUAGCCUUGAUGGCCAGGUGGUACCUCGGAAGGACACCUUUCGGUAUUUGGGGUCAAUGUUGCAGGAGGAUGGGGGUAUUGAUGAAGAUGUGAACCAUCGAAUCAAAGCCGGAUGGAUGAAGUGGCGCCAAGCUUCUGGCAUUCUCUGUGACAAGAGAGUGCCACAAAAGCUAAAAGGCAAGUUCUACAGGACGGCGGUUCGACCCGCAAUGUUGUAUGGCGCGGAGUGUUGGCCGACUAAAAGGCGACAUGUUCAACAUUUAGGUGUGGCGGAGAUGCGUAUGUUGAGAUGGAUGUGUGGCCACACGAGGAAGGAUCGAGUCCGGAAUGAUGAUAUACGAGAUAGAGUUGGGGUAGCACCAAUUGAGGAGAAGCUUGUCCAACAUCGUUUGAGAUGGUUUGGGCAUAUUCAGCGCAGGCCUCCAGAAGCUCCAGUGCAUAGCGGACGGCUAAAGCGUGCGGAGAAUUUCAAGAGAGGGCGGGGUCGACCGAUUUUGACAUGGGAGGAGUCCGUUAAGAGAGACCUGAAGGAUUGGAGUAUCGACAAAGAGCUAGCUAUGGACAGGGGUGCGUGGAAGCUUGCUAUCCAUGUGCCAGAGCCAUGA